AUUGAACGCUGGCGGCAUGCUUUACACAUGCAAGUCGAACGGUAACAGGUCUUCGGAUGCUGACGAGUGGCGAACGGGUGAGUAACACAUCGGAACGUGCCUAGUAGUGGGGGAUAACUACUCGAAAGAGUAGCUAAUACCGCAUGAGAUCUAAGGAUGAAAGCAGGGGACCUUCGGGCCUUGCGCUACUAGAGCGGCUGAUGGCAGAUUAGGUAGUUGGUGGGAUAAAAGCUUACCAAGCCGACGAUCUGUAGCUGGUCUGAGAGGACGACCCGCCACACUGGGACUGAGACACGGCCCAGACUCCUACGGGAGGCAGCAGUGGGGAAUUUUGGACAAUGGGCGAAAGCCUGAUCCAGCAAUGCCGCGUGCAGGAUGAAGGCCCUCGGGUUGUAAACUGCUUUUGUACGGAACGAAAAGACUCUCUCUAAUAAAGAGGGUUGAUGACGGUACCGUAAGAAUAAGCACCGGCUAACUACGUG
rnacentral:rRNA from 1 species